UCCUCGUUAGUAUAGUGGGUGAGUAUCCCCGCCUGUCACGCGGGAGACCCGGGGUUCGAUUCCCCGACGGGGGA
rfam:Ciona savignyi cont_60328, whole genome shotgun sequence.